CUCGGUUCUCUUCCCUCAGCGUGUGGGAAGGCGGUUUGGUUUGGUCUGUAGCUCAGGGCUGCGCUUUGAACACCUUCAAGAGAAGGAAAAAUAAAGCCACGCAGAAAAGCAAUCUUGUGCAACACAAAAAUCGGCUUCGGGGCUGCAGCGUCAGUGAAUACGGAGUAACCAAUAAAGAUCUGGCUAUUAAAGAACAGCACAGUCAUGAAAAGGAGUUCAGCUGAUGCUUCAACCCGCAGCACAGCAGGUGUUAUCCAUUCUUUUGCACUUUACAGCUUAUUCAUCGUUAUGCUUAUAUCCUGAAGCCCAUUUCCCAAGUAGACUUGUAUGGAUUUCUAUGUUAUUACAACACAGUGUAAAGUUUUGGAGGCGUGGGGCUGGUAAUGAAGUAAUAGGUAUAGCUCACAGGCUAAUUUGCAGGAUGAAGGGCUAAACCCUGUGAGGCAGUGGCUGG
rnacentral:lncRNA from 1 species